UUAUAAAGAUCUUUAAGGGUCAUAAUAUCAGAUAGUUGACAUAGUUCAUAUUUUUAAUUAAAAAAGUAAAAACGAAAUAAGAGGAAUAGCAUACAUUAUUGUUGUUGCGGUGUGUCACGUGACAAUCAUGACCCGUCGCCAUGGACACAAGGGGUCGGAUAUUUAAAGUUAAAUAUUUUUAACUUACGCGUGAAAUGGUUAAUUUUAAAUAUAUAUAUAUAUAUAUUCUAAGUAAACAACAACAGCCCAAGUUUAGUAAACAUUUUUUUAUUGAAACUAUAAAUAAAUAUUCUGCAUCCAUUAGGUGUGCCACUGUGGGUGGCUCUUGCACACCCGUGGCUACGCCCCUGCCGUGACCCAAAUCUCGUUCGCACAUCAUCGCGAUGUUUAUCGUCAAUUUACAAACCUCGCCAGUCGCCACAUCUUUUUUCUUCACAUACAUCUCAUACUCCUCCAUCUACACUCUUCACAACAUUUAAACCAACAGCUCUUUUAACAGCCAUCACUUGCAAAAGCUCUCCUACUCACUCACUCACUCUCCAACUCACUCAAGGUGCGUUCCAUUCAACCGUAAGUCGACCAUCGACCAUCAAGAGAUUAGCCUAUCCCCUGUAUGUCAUUGAUGCACUACUUCAAAGAUGUGAGAAAAAGAACAUACACCUGCGAGUAGUCUGUUACAUUGACUGUGUUGCUGCCUCACAUUUGCAGAAAUCAGGGGAGGGCAUAUCACACAACAUUGCCUUGGCCGUACCAGCAUUUCAUGUUUAUGGACACAAAUUGCCCUGACAGAUCAAGUACAGUACCAGAUGGCUUGAUGGGUUUGGGCUCACAGACGGGGAAGGAAUGAAAAGGCUGUGGUCUUUCCUCCAAAGAUUUGCCAGAGUCACAAAGGAGAUGACUCCAUCUCAUCGCCUUGACCUACUGACUGAUGCCCUUUUGCAUUAUGGACGGAGGAAAUCAGCUGACCUAGGUGUGUCUACUGCUGUAUAACCUUUCAAAAUUCUGUGCUGGUGGUUCACUGUUUAUACAUUUUUAUAUUUUCUGGAGUGAAGCCGAUCACACACAAAAUGGUAAGCAUACUAUUAGUAGAUUAAACUGUCUUUUCAGAGGUGCAGCUCCUGCAAAGAGUAGACAAAGCAGAGAAAAUAUUGCUCAAGAAGAUCUCUCAUCUGUCAUCAGAGAGGCACCAGUGUUGAUUUCUGAAGGAGACAUGGAGAGAUGGAAAAAAGCUAGCCCAACAGAAACCAAUAAAUGGAAAAGGGACUACAUCAUCAGACUGAUUCAGUUCUACAAGUUCAAAAUUGAGGACUCUGCUGAACAUUGAGGAAAAAUACCGUAUUGGGAGAAGAUGGCAAGAGUCUGAUUCAAACUUCCAGUCUACCCUUAAAGAUGUGGACCGUGAGCUCAGAGUCCAACUGUAAGGCUAGAACUGAAUCAAGGGAGAGAGCAGUCGUCCUCCACCUGAGAAGAAUAUAUCCAGCUUUGCUUCAGAUGGGCAGGGCAUUGCCAUUAGACUCUCCAAGCAGGUAGCCAAUUGAUUUUCAGGAAUCAUGUGAUCCCUCUUGGCAUGUCUACUUCUGCUUUAAUGACACUAUUGAAGAAGAUGAUGUUUCGAGGAGUCUAAAAAGGCGAGGGAUUGAUGCCUUACAUAUGAAGACUCGGGUAGCUGAGGAAAAGUGGCCAAGUGGUCUAAGGGGCCAGUCACACCAAAAGCGUUUAUGGCAGUUGCAGGCGCCUUUUUUGAAUGCUAUUCUAUGGGCAGGGCGCGUUUACGCGCUGUUUAUGUGCGCCGAGCGCCUCGCGUUUUUUUGCCGCCUGCCGCGCAUGCGUUUUUGAAGGAGCGCUGAGAGCGGAGAAGAGCCCGACGUCAUUCGGGUCUUUCCAUUGUCCAAUCAAAUGAGGGGAGAGCCGGGCCUUACGUUGUGGUGAGUGAAGUUUACAGUUGCUUUGAAAAACCGGACUCCACUCGCUCACUCUCUCCUGCGUGUUUGUGCACCUCUUAUCCUCAAACAAGGUCAGAGCAAGCGCCCUCUUUUUAAAGUUUCUGCUAAUAUGACAGUUAACAUCAAAAGAGCGCUCAUGCUUCAAUAUUUGAUUGACAAGACAGCUGACUCGGUGGUUGCUUAGCAAUAUGAAAAGCCACGUCGCACUGCUCUUUUUUUGCAAGCGUUUAAAGCGCUUUUGGUGUGCCUGGCCCCUAAUUGAACACCCCAUCAGCAGCAGGCCUCUAACAUUUGGGCUCUAACAUCAAAGACACUGAGCAGCCUGGUGCAAAAGCUGCUCUCAUUCAACACCUCCAACAGCUGGAAAGAAAACUACAUCAAGCCAUUGUGAUGUUUCACCCACAUCUAUCGGACAUUGUUCCUGCAGACAACCCCCACUUGUGUCAGGCCCUCCCCAUGCCAAGCAUACAGACACUGGUAUACAAUGAUAAGAGUGAUAAUGAUGAAAAUGUGGAUAAAUAUGAUAACUAGCACUACAGAUUUUUUGUUAAUUUCUAGUUUGAUAUUGUAUUCUGUAAAAAGAAAGAUGUAAAAUGUAUAGUAUAUGUUGCAGCAUAUCAUAGAAACCUUUAUGGUGCUGUAAUAUAAUGUUCGCCUUACUUGUGCAAACAUGAUGUUUUACUAGGUCUGAUUUAUUUUAAAGCGUAGGUACUGUUUUUAAGCACACAUAUUCACACUAGUCUGUGUGAGGACAAAAUUGUGUGUUUACCAUUGUGAUGUUACUUAUUUACUGUAAUGUAAAAAUGUGGUCAAUGUGUGUAAGGUGUUUUGUUUUUGUGAGCUAAGUUAAAAUGACAAAGUAUUGAAUCUUGAAUCCUUUGAAACAAAUACUGUAAAAGUUUGUAAAAAAAAAAAUAA